rnacentral:tRNA from 1 species
GUCCCCUUCGUCUAGUGGUCCAGGACGCCGCCUUCUCAAGGCGGUAACAGGGGUUCAAAUCCCCUAGGGGACGCCA